UGAGCAUAUGGGUAGCUAGCUUGGGUAUC
rnacentral:piRNA from 1 species